rnacentral:rRNA from 1 species
GAUGAACGCUGGCGGCGUGCCUAAUACAUGCAAGUCGAGCGAACAGACGAGGAGCUUGCUCCUCUGACGUUAGCGGCGGACGGGUGAGUAACACGUGGAUAACCUACCUAUAAGACUGGGAUAACUUCGGGAAACCGGAGCUAAUACCGGAUAAUAUAUUGAACCGCAUGGUUCAAUAGUGGAAGACGGUUUUGCUGUCACUUAUAGAUGGAUCCGCGCCGCAUUAGCUAGUUGGUAAGGUAACAGCUUACCAAGGCAACGAUGCGUAGCCGACCUGAGAGGGUGAUCGGCCACACUGGAACUGAGACACGGUCCAGACUCCUACGGGAGGCAGCAGUAGGGAAUCUUCCGCAAUGGGCGAAAGCCUGACGGAGCAACGCCGCGUGAGUGAAGAAGGUCUUCGGAUCGUAAAACUCUGUUAUUAGGGAAGAACAAAUGUGUAAGUAACUAUGCACGUCUUGACGGUACCUAAUCAGAAAGCCACGGCUAACUACGUG